rnacentral:lncRNA from 1 species
AUGAAAAACUGGACAGCACCUGGCCCUGACAUGAUCCACGCCUACUGGCUAAAGAAGCUCACUGCAAUCCAUGAGCGCCUGGCAGCACAAAUGAACCAGCUGCUAAGGGAUGGGACUCACCCUGAAUGGCUAACCGAAGGGCGAACGAUCCUGAUAAUGAAGAGCUACACUCUGCCAGUGAUCAGAUACCCUGCGGGAAUAAUAAGGUGGCCAAAGGAAGAGAUACAGACCACAGAUGUUAAGACACGAAAGCUCCUCACCAUGCAUGGAGGGUUCCACCCCAAAUCCAGCACCCUGAGACUGUACGCUAGCCGCAAGGAAGGAGGCCGAGGACUAGUGAGCGUGAGAGCCACUAUCCGGGAUGAAACAUGCAAGAUCCAUAAGUACAUCAAGGAUAAGGCCCCGACAGAUGACGUGCUGAGUGAAUGUCUCAGGCAGUGGAGAACAGAGGAUGAGAUGCUGGAAGAGGGACCAUCAUGGGAGGACAAGCCCUUGCACGGGAUGUACCACCGGAACAUAACUGAAGUGGCUGAUCUCAACAAAUCCUACCAAUGGCUUGAAAGGGCUGGGCUGAAGGACAGCACAGAGGCACUCAUCCUGGCCGCACAGGAGCAGGCCCUGAGCACCAGAGCCAUAGAGGCCCAGAUUUACCACACCAGACAAGACCCAAGGUGUAGACUGUGCAAAGAGGCCCCAGAGACGGUCCAGCACAUAACUGCAGGGUGUAAGAUGCUGGCAGGCAAAGCAUACAUGGAACGCCAUAACCAAGUGGCUGGCAUAGUAUACAGGAACAUCUGCGCGGAGUAUGGACUGGAAUCCCCAAGGUCAAAGUGGGAAACACCUCCCAAGGUGGUAGAGAACGAGCGAGCCAAAAUCCUGUGGGACUUCCAGAUACAGACAGACAGAAUGGUAAUGGCGAACCAACCAGACAUUGUGGUGGUGAAUAAAGAGCAGAGGAAAGCUGUAGUGGUGGAUGUGGCAAUACCAAGCGAUGGCAACAUCAGGAAAAAGGAACAUGAGAAACUAGAGAAAUACCAAGGGCUCAGAGAAGAACUGGAGAAGGCUUGGAAGGUGAAGGCCACAGUGGUGCCUGUGGUGAUCGGAGCACUAGGGGCUGUGACCCCCAAACUGGAGGAGUGGCUACGACAGAUCCCUGGAAAAACAUCCGAAAUCUCAGUCCAGAAAAGUGCAGUCCUAGGAACAGCAAGGAUACUGCGCAGAACCCUCAAGCUCCCUGGCCUCUGGUAG